rnacentral:rRNA from 1 species
UACGUAGGGGGCAAGCGUUGUCCGGAUUUAUUGGGCGUAAAGAGCGUGUAGGCGGCCAAACAGGUCAGCUGUGAAAACUCGAGGCUCAACCUCGAGACGUCGGUUGAAACCGUUUGGCUAGAGUCCGGAAGAGGAGAGUGGAAUUCCCGGUGUAGCGGUGAAAUGCGUAGAUAUCUGGAGGAACACCGGUGGCGAAGGCGGCAUCCCGGACCAACACUGACGCUGAGGAGCGAAAGCCAGGGGAGCAAACGGG